rnacentral:rRNA from 1 species
CCUACGGGAGGCAGCAGUGAGGAAUAUUGGUCAAUGGACGAGAGUCUGAACCAGCCACGUAGCGUGAAGGAUGACUGCCCUAUGGGUUGUAAACUUCUUUUAUAUGGGAAUAAAAUGUUCCACGUGUGCGCUUUUGUAUGUACCCUAUGAAUAAGGAUCGGCUAACUCCGUGCCAGCAGCCGCGGUAAUACGGAGGAUCCGAGCGUUAUCCGGAUUUAUUGGGCUUAAAGGGAGCGUAGGUGGAUUGUUAAGUCAGUUGUGAAAGUUUGCGGCUCAACCGUAAAAUUGCAGUUGAAACUGGCAGUCUGGAGUACAGGAGAGGUGGGCGGAAUUCGUGGUGUAGCGGUGAAAUGCGUAGAUAUCACGAAGAACUCCGAUUGCGAAGGCAGCUAACUGGACUGCAACUGACACUGAGGCUCGAAAGUGUGGGUAUCAAACAGGAUUAGAUACCCUGGUAGUC